CCUACGGGAGACUGCAGUGAGGAAUAUUGGUCAAUGGACGAGAGUCUGAACCAGCCAAGUAGCGUGAAGGAUGACUGCCCUAUGGGUUGUAAACUUCUUUUAUAUGGGAAUAAAAUGUUCCACGUGUGGGAUUUUGUAUGUACCAUAUGAAUAAGGAUCGGCUAACUCCGUGCCAGCAGCCGCGGUAAUACGGAGGAUCCGAGCGUUAUCCGGAUUUAGUGGGUUUAAAGGGAGCGUAGGUGGAUUGUUAAGUCAGUUGUGAAAGUUUGCGGCUCAACCGUAAAAUUGCAGUUGAAACUGGCAGUCUUGAGUACAGUAGAGGUGGGCGGAAUUCGUGGUGUAGCGGUGAAAUGCUUAGAUAUCACGAAGAACUCCGAUUGCAAAGGCAGCUCACUGGACUGCAACUGACACUGAGGCUCGAAAGUGUGGGUAUCAAACAGGAUUAGAUACCCCAGUAGUC
rnacentral:rRNA from 1 species